UUUCUUGCUGCCCUCGGUGCCCCCAUUUUUCAUUGAUGAAAUGUUGAAGUGAUUCGUGAUGAUGUUAACCUCGGCCAUCCAUGCUGGUCGGUUUCGGUUAAAGGUUGCUUUCUCAAGCCUGGUGUUGUUAAUGCCCCCUCUCCCCAGGUCUUCUCCUAUAUUGAUGGGGUCCAGCAACCCGUGAGCGAUGGUGACAGGGGAUCCUGGUGCGGGCUGCGGAUGCACCCGGGCAGAUCCGGCGUCGUGAACGCGGACUGGUUGAAUAGGAACCGGCUGCUUGUGUGCCGCCGCCUUCAAGGUCUCCAGGAUCUCCUUGUAACGGCGUGUAUUUCACUGCCCUGUGAUUCCCUGUCAGGACUGGGUGGUGAAUGUCCUGGCAAAAGCAAGGUUCAUAUGAGGGUGGUCCCUGCAGGUGAUCUCUGCCCUGGCCAGUGCCGUCAGUUCCGAGAUGGUCCACCGCGCGUUGAACUCUGCUGGUGGAGGAGAGUUUGCAAUGCCGACGUAGGUGUGACCUCUCCGAUGACGGAUUCAGCAGAGGGAGCAGGAACGAUGACAGUUGGCGGGGUGUCUGGGCCUUGCUUCUGGUGUAGGGGGGAUAUCUCGGGGCGGUGACCGGGGUUGGAGAAUGAUGUAUGGACCUCUCGCUUCACCGCUGUGGUCUUGGUGUGGUGAGGGGUGAUGAGGGUAUGUCCGUCUGCAGGCCGGAGGAAUCUUGCACUGAUGGCAGUGGUCCCCCUGGAGUGGCAGUGGGGGGCUCACCAUGUGCAGGAACCCUGGAGUCCGGCCGAGGUAACCUGCGCCGCAGCUGUUCUUGCUAUAGCAAGUCUCUAUACAACUUCCGCCCCCUGAUGCCCUUGAUGGUUUGCCAAGGUACCCGUGCGUACCCCUUGGCGAGUUUUUUGUUGACAAACUUCAUCUUGGCGGGCAUCGACAAUUCUUAAACCGCCAAAGUCCUGACGUCCUCCGUGGUCCUGUCACCUGCUGGUGGGAGACGCAAGGCAGGGGUGCUGGUCGUGAAGGGCAUCGACAUGUCUGCCCUCUCGGAGUCCUGGGAGAACUCUGGGUGCUCCUUCUCCUCGGUGUGACUUGCAGGGGAAGGAGUGGGAGCCUGCGGAAGCUCGUUGUUGGCUGCACUGUGCGAGUCGGCGUUCGUCACUACGGUUGAAGCGGGCGAUACUAAUGGUUUCUUCCGACACCUUGUGUAAUGAGACGAGAUGGAGGUGCUCUCGGUAUACGUUUUUGCGAGGCAAUUGGAGCACCUCCAUAAGAAGUGACAACUAUGAACAUGUUCGUAGUGCUCCCCCAGAGAGAUGCAGGAAGUUAGUCGUUUGUCGCACAGGUGGCAGACAAUCUCCUCUGGGGGAUACAGCCUCUCAGUGGUUGCUAACGCGCUAGGUGAUGGAUGAGUCCCUGACAUGCUGAAAUGAAUAAGGGGAAAAAAAUUGAAACACUAUUCCCCCAGCUGCUUGCGGCAUAGGGGAUUUGUAAUUAAGGAUAGGCUGUGAGGCCGAGAGGGAGUGCCUGGUAAUGUGGCCUGUGUUACAGGCCACAGAGACUUGCUCAAAAGGUACAAAUUUCCCCAGAGCACUAGACUAUACUAGCCCUGCAGACUACGCCACUACGUGUAGUAAAAACCAGCUAGUGGUACCCCGCGUAGCCCCAAAGCGUAGAUCCGAUCCACAAAGCUGCAUGCCGAAGCACAAAAAAAAAGAAAGAAAAGAGCUAAGUUUAUCACGCCAAAAUGCCGAAUGGCGCUCGAUUACAAACGAAAAACCCCUCAAAUGUUGCUAAAAGAGAGAGAAAAAAAAAGUGAAAAGACUUUUCUCUGCUGCUAGUAUAAAAGAGGGGGUGAAAUCCACGGGUGGAACGUACCGCCCUCUGUCGAUGGCUGGCGCAACUAAACAAAGUUGCAUACGCUCCCAGUUAGCGUGCAAAAUUCGAACUGGAAGCUGGCAGAGCUGCCACAAAAAAAAAAAAGAACGAUGGCAGUGGGACCAGAGACUUUUGUGCGUGGUUCGACGCACGGAGACUGAAAAAAAAAAACGUUUAGUGUAGGAACCAGCGGUCCACUAGCACCUAGCACUAACUCCAGCAGCCAAAAAGCGAGCGACCGUUACGGGGUGAAGAAGGCCUCAGCGGCCGGCUGCUCACACAAUUGGAGAGGUGCUGAAACUGUGCUCUGUGGACCUGAGAACCUUCCAAGAGCAGCGGGGGGUAGCGGGUGGUGCCCGGGAACACGCGGUAGUCUCGGAGGCGUGCAGACCCGGCCGAAGGCGCGACCACCGGGAACUCGGCACGCUAACCAAGCGCGGCCGAAGCGAAGCUGACUUUCUGUUUACCCGCAAGGUACCCAAGGCAUUUGGCAUUUUUUUUUAUAAUUUGGACUUGUGCACAAAAAUCGUUUUCUCGCCCACCCCUUUGCAGAGGCAUCAGGCUGAUCUUCGGCAUCAAGUCUGGAAGUCCUUAUCCUCUCCAAGGGAGAGGGACCCACCAAUAGCCCCAUGGCAACACACAACCGCCGGGGCGCUUUAUCGUCCGUGCACCACGGAGGUCAUCUGCUGAUGCCGACGAAAGCACCUGACCCCCCCUGAAGACAAAGUAUAGUCAAUAUCUUAAUAUACUGUCUACCAAACCCAAGAUUGGUAAGAGCUGAAGCACUUUUUGGCGACCAAACACGUGAUAUAUAUGUGAUAUGUAGUCAAACUAGUCACAACCGGUGCAACACUAUUGGCCCCUUUAAUAACAUCCAGAAGCUCUGGAACACUAUACUUCUACACCUUCUGCUCAUGUGCGGCAUCUGGGGUGGAAUACAUACCCACCACCUGUGCAUCAACCACAGUCAUCUAACCACCUCUUGCAUUAACGAGAUCUGGCACAUAUAUCUGUGUUGCGGUGUGGCACUCAGGUUUUACCAGCACCUCCCAUCCCUUUUCUUUCAG